AACGCGAAGAACCUUACCAACUCUUGACAUCCCCCUGACCGGCACAGAGAUGUGCCUUCCCCUUCGGGGGCAGGGGUGACAGGUGGUGCAUGGUUGUCGUCAGCUCGUGUCGUGAGAUGUUGGGUUAAGUCCCGCAACGAGCGCAACCCUUGUCCUUAGUUGCCACCAUUCAGUUGGGCACUCUAAGGAGACUGCCUGUGACAAACCGGAGGAAGGUGGGGAUGACGUCAAAUCAUCAUGCCCCUUAUGAGUUGGGCUACACACGUGCUACAAUGGACGGUACAAAGGGCAGCGAAGCCGCGAGGUGGAGCCAAUCCCAGAAAGCCGUUCUCAGUUCGGAUUGCAGGCUGCAACUCGCCUGCAUGAAGUCGGAAUCGCUAGUAAUCGCAGGUCAGCAUACUGCGGUGAAUACGUUCCCGGGUCUUGUACACACCG
rnacentral:rRNA from 1 species